rnacentral:rRNA from 1 species
UCGGUUCAGUGGCGAACGGCGGAGUAAGACAUGAGCAACGUGCCCCUAUGACUGGGAUAUACAGAGGAAACUCUGGGCAAUACCGGAUGUGGCCAACCUUUGGCAUCUUUGGUUGACUAAACGGAUUCAUUCGCAUAGGGAGCGGCUCAUGACCCAUCAGGUAGUUGGUAGGGUAAUGGCCUACCAAGCCGACGACGGGUAGCGGGUCUGAGAGGAUGAUCCGCCCGAGUGGGACUGAGACACGGCCCACACACCUACGGGUGGCUGCAGUUGGGAAUCUUGCACAAUGGGGGAAACCCUGAUGCAGCGACGCCGCGUGGAGGAUGACGGAUUUAGGUCUGUAAACUCCUUUUGCUAGGAAGGACUUAGGACGGUACCUAGCGAAUAAGCUCCGGCUAACUACGUGCCAGCAGCCGCGGUAAUACGUAGGGAGCAAGCGUUGUCCGGAUUUACUGGGCGUAAAGGGCGCGUAGGCGGCCUGUUAAGUGUGGUGUGAAAUCUC